rnacentral:lncRNA from 1 species
GAGCCAGCACACUCUGGCCCUGCUCUAGUGAAAGCAAAGGGCCACGACAGCUCUGGUUCCCCGGAGAAAAAAGCAGGAUGGCUGCUGACACCUAACUUCCGAGAGGAAGGCAAUUUCUGCAGCUAGACGAAUGCUGUACUGGAGAAGAAGGGCCUCUUUGAAGGAACCAAGGCUAUCAGACGCCAUCUUCUCUUCCCAGAUCAGGACUCCGUGCUCCAUGUGAGAAACAGAGCCUAUUCCUCUGUGUCAGGAGGAAAAAUGAGCACAGUCAAAAGCAAUGGCCCUCAGGGGGUGGGUGAGUUUUCUGCUAUUAAAAAUUACUAUAGGGCUGUGGCCUCCCCUGGGAGGCGGCUUCUGAGGACUGCUGAGGCCCAGGAUGGUGCGGGGAGGUAGGGGAGCACCUGGGAGCAGCUUAGUUCAGGCUGCAGUUUGCAGCCUGGUGGCCUCACUAGCAGCUUGGGUUACAACCCUGAAAGUAGGCCAAAUGACAGAAUGGCUUCUGUUGUAAACAAAUUUUCUCUGUUGACUGCAUCACCCAGAGAAAUGGAGCUUAGGAACCACUGGCUUUGUGCCAGGAAAAGGAGCUGGUUUUCCUAAGGACUGGGGUGGGCAGUGCUCCUGCUGUUUGCUGGGGAGGGACAGGGAUGCUAACUUUCCUGUAGCCCAGAGGAUGGUCCUGGACCACAAAGAACUGUCCUCCCAAAAUGCCCUCAUGCUUGGACAGACCUGCUCAAACCCCUACAGGAGGUGCCAAAUUCUUCCUACUCUUCACCUCAUCCCAAAGUCGCUAAUAGCUUGGCCUCCUUUCCCUUCCUCAAAGGGAAACGCAGCUAGCCCCUGCCUCAGGGCCUUCGCAUUUGCUCCUUCCUCUUUCUCACUUUAUUCAGGUCUCUGCUCCAAGGUCACCUCCUCAAGUGAGGGCUUUGUUGAUCACCCUACCUGACAUAGC